UUUCUUUAUUAUUAUGAAGCUGACUUCAUGCAGGAACUUCUUAGGAAGAAAGAUAAGAAGUUAGCAAUAUCCUUUAACUCUACUUUCCGCUAUAUAGAUGACGUUCUUUCACUAAACAAUUCAAAAUUUGGUGACUAUGUGGAACGCAUCUAUCCCAUCGAAUUGGAGAUAAAGGAUACUACAGAUACAGUUAAGUCGGCUUCAUAUCUUGACUUACAUCUAGAAAUUGACAAUGAGGGUCGAUUGAAAACUAAACUUUACG
rnacentral:lncRNA from 1 species